rnacentral:rRNA from 1 species
AUUGAACGCUGGCGGAAUGCUUUACACAUGCAAGUCGAACGGCAGCACGGACUUCGGUCUGGUGGCGAGUGGCGAACGGGUGAGUAAUGUAUCGGAACGUGCCCAGUCGUGGGGGAUAACGUAGUGAAAAUUACGCUAAUACCGCAUACGAUCUAUGGAUGAAAGCGGGGGAUCGCAAGACCUCGCGCGAUUGGAGCGGCCGAUAUCAGAUUAGGUAGUUGGUGGGGUAAAGGCCCACCAAGCCAACGAUCUGUAGCUGGUCUGAGAGGACGACCAGCCACACUGGAACUGAGACACGGUCCAGACUCCUACGGGAGGCAGCAGUGGGGAAUUUUGGACAAUGGGCGAAAGCCUGAUCCAGCCGUUCCGCGUGCAGGAUGAAGUCCCUCGGGUUGUAAACUGCUUUUGUACAGAACGAAAAGGUUUCUACUAAUACUAGGAGCUCAUGACGGUACUGUAAGAAUAAGCACCGGCUAACUACGUGCCAGCAGCCGCCGUAA